CCUACGGGUGGCAGCAGUGAGGAAUAUUGGUCAAUGGGCGCGAGCCUGAACCAGCCAAGCCGCGUGAGGGAAGACGGUCCUAUGGGUUGUAAACCUCUUUUGUCGGGGAGCAAAAGACGCCACGCGUGGCGGUCCGAGAGUACCCGAAGAAAAAGCAUCGGCUAACUCCGUGCCAGCAGCCGCGGUAAUACGGAGGAUGCGAGCGUUAUCCGGAUUUAUUGGGUUUAAAGGGUGCGCAGGCGGAAGAUAAAGUCAGCGGUAAAAUCGGGGGGCUCAACCUCGUAGUGCCUGUGAAACUGGUUUGCUUGAGUGAAGGAGAGGUAGGCGGAAUGCGUGGUGUAGCGGUGAAAUGCAUAGAUAUCACGCAGAACACCGAUUGCGAAGGCAGCAUACCGG
rnacentral:rRNA from 1 species